rnacentral:rRNA from 1 species
GUGCACCAGGCGAGAAACCUCCGCAAUGCGGGAAACCGCGACGGGGGACCCCGAGUGCCGUGGCAACGCCACGGCUUUUCCGGAGUGUAAAAAGCUCCGGGAAUAAGGGCUGGGCAAGGCCGGUGGCAGCCGCCGCGGUAAUACCGGCGGCCCGAGUGGUGGCCGCUAUUAUUGGGCCUAAAGCGUCCGUAGCCGGGCCCGUAAGUCCCUGGCGAAAUCCCACGGCUCAACCGUGGGCUUGCUGGGGAUACUGCGGGUCUUGGGACCGGGAGAGGCGGGGGGUACCCCUGGGGUAGGGGUGAAAUCCUAUAAUCCCAGGGGGACCGCCAGUGGCGAAGGCGCCCCGCUGGAACGGGUCCGACGGUGAGGGACGAAGGCCAGGGGAGCAAACCGGAUUAGAUACCCGUGUAGU